ensembl:lncRNA
CUUUGAUCUAGAUAUUUGAAGAGUUCCAAGAUUUGUAUCAACAAGUAAAAUUGUGUCAGUGUUAAGUAUUUAAUUUGCAGUCAUGAAAAUUAGAAUCCUUUCCCACCCGGGAGAAAAGAGAUGAAAGAAAGUCUCAUCAAGCAAUAAGAAACAAAGGAACAACUAAAAUCCUUUCUAGGUUUUUGAGACCAGUACUACCUAAUAGAGCUAUCAGAGAUGAUGGACUUCCCUCGUUUGUCUUUUCCAAUAUGGUCAUCACCCCUAGUUAUAUACGACUAUGAACCCAUGACAGUUAGGGUAUGGGAGAAAGCACAGUUUCCUAUCGACAAGUCUGAAGAAAACCAUCAAUGGAAGAGAGCCAAGUUUUAAUUAAGCAUGGAAAGAGAAGGGC